AACGAACGUUAGCGGCGCGCUUAACACAUGCAAGUCGUGCGAGAAAGGGGCAACCCCCGGUAAAGCGGCGCACGGGUGAGUAACACGUAGGUAAUCUACCCCCAGGUGGUGGAUAACCUUCCGAAAGGAGGGCUAAUACAGCAUGAGACCACGACCCCGCAAGGGGAGUGAGGUCAAACGCCGGCCUCUUCAUGAAAGCUGGCGCCAGGGGAUGAGCCUGCGGCCCAUCAGCUAGUUGGCAGGGUAAUGGCCUACCAAGGCGAAGACGGGUAGCUGGUCUGAGAGGAUGAUCAGCCACACUGGAACUGAGACACGGUCCAGGACU
rnacentral:rRNA from 1 species